CUCUCACCAAGAGUCUGACCUGGGCCAGAUGCUGUGCUGGGCUCUCGAGAUAAAAGAUGAGAAGGACCCAGUCCUAGUUCCCAGGCAGCUUACCACCUGGGAGGGAGAGGAUUCAAGCUGGGAUGCCCUACUUAGACUGGCCGUUAGAGACAAUCCUGGCCUCCAGGGUCAGUCCUGCUCUUCCAGGUGCUUCCUCAUGCUCCUACUGACAAAUUGAGGCUACACAGGGACAAGGUUGUCUUUCAAAGAAGUGGUCUCCAGCCAGUAAUAUCUUAUGCCGUGGUUAUAGACAACACAGACAGGGGUGAAUAUGGGCCAUAAAAGAAAAAGGCAACAUGUGACAUUUAAUUCAAGAUUAAAAGAAAUCGUCAAUUGGAGCUGAUUGUGCUCAUCCAGAUGUCACCAGAAACAGCUGUAUGCCAUCUGCCGGAGUGGGUACCACCAGCUGGAGCAGCUCUCCUCAAGACCCUGGUUCUGCUUUUCUCCCCAGCAGGAAGGAGAAUCAUUCAAGAGAGCAGGUGAGACUCUGCAGACAUCCAUCUUGCCGGCACCGGGCUCUGGGAGGCUGGCUGGGAGAUGGGGAAAGAUGCUCCCGAGACAUACAGCUUCUCGAAAUGGUCUUGCAAGAUUGAGCAAUCAGUCGCACUUGGCAGCAGCCAGCUCGGUAAUGUGUCCUUCGAGUGGCUCUCCCCUCCCUGCCUCCUCUUCCUUCUUGGGAUUGCACUCCCUAAUAAAGAAGUAGCUAGUCCAUGG
rnacentral:lncRNA from 1 species